rnacentral:rRNA from 1 species
UACGAAGGGGACUAGCGUUGUUCGGAUUUACUGGGCGUAAAGCGCGCGUAGGCGGAUCGCUAAGUCAGGGGUGAAAUCCCAGGGCUCAACCCUGGAACUGCCUUUGAUACUGACGAUCUGGAGAUCGGGAGAGGUUGGUGGAAUUCCGAGUGUAGAGGUGAAAUUCGUAGAUAUGGGGAGGAACACCGGUGGCGAAGGCGGCCAUCUGGACGGAUACUGACGCUGAGACGCGAAAGCGUGGGGAGCAAACAGG